AUCGCUUCUUGGCCUUUUGGCUAAGUUCAAGUGUAGUAUCUGUUCUUAUCAACUUAAUAUAUGAUACAUCCUCUAUCUGAGGACAAUAUAUUAAAUGGAUUUUUGGAAUUAGGGGUUGGACAAGGAGCUUACUCCAUCCACUCCACGCAUUGACCUGGUAUUGCAGUAGCUCCAUGAACCCCCUCGGGGAAUAAAAA